rnacentral:lncRNA from 10 species
GGAGGACUCGAUGGAGAUGGACAUGAGCCCCCGGAGGCCCCAGAACUAUGUUUUCAGUUGUGAACUAAAGGCCGACAAAGACGAUCCCUUUAAGGCGGACAAUGAUGAAAAGGAACACCACUUAUCUUUAAGAAUUGUCAGUUUGAGGGCUGGUGCAAAGCAUGAUUGCACAUUGUUGACGCAGAGACAAUGAAUGACGAAGGCAGUCCAAUUAAAGUAACACUGGCGACUUUGAAAAUGUCUGUACAGCCAAUGGUUUCCAUGGGGGCUUUGAAAUCACACCACCCACGGUCUUACAGUUGAAGAGUGUGGUUCAGAGCAGAUGCCUAUUAGUGGACAGCACUUAGGAAGAUGCAGAGUCAGAAGAUGAAGAGGAGAAGAAUGUGAAACUCUUAAGUAUAUCUGGAAAGUAAUCUGCCCCUGGAAGUGGUAGCAAGUUUCCACAGAAAAAAUUAAAACUUCCUGCUGAUGGAGAAGAUGAUGAUGAUGAUGAAGAUGAUGAUGUUGAAGAAGAUGAUGAUUUUGAUGAGGAAACUGAAGAAAAAGCAGCAGUGGAGAA